ensembl:lncRNA
GUGAGUAGUUAUUGCCCGGAGUGAGGUCAGGGAGCAUGCCAGCCUGCCGGAAUCUCCCCUUUUGAGCAAACUGUAUAAAUGAUAGGUUAAGAAAAAACACAUCAGACCAGAAAGACGUGAAGCUGCACGUUUAAAGUGGUUUGAACUUCAACACCAGGUGGAGACGAUAAACUCUCCUCCCAGACAAUCACUGGACUACUCGACAAGGCACCUGAUACUGGACAACUACAGAGAAGGACAACAGUAGAAGACUUGUUGGAACCAUUUUGGACAAUCAGAGCCUAACAGGUUUCACAAAAAGUGUUUGUGAC